CCUACGGGGGGCAGCAGUGAGGAAUAUUGGUCAAUGGGCGGGAGCCUGAACCAGCCAAGUCGCGUGAGGGAAGACGGUCCUAUGGAUUGUAAACCUCUUUAGGCGGGGAGCAAAGCCGGGCACGUGUGCCCGGAGGGAGAGUACCCGCAGAAUAAGCAUCGGCUAACUCCGUGCCAGCAGCCGCGGUAAUACGGAGGAUGCGAGCGUUAUCCGUAUUUAUUGGGGUUAAAGGGUGCGUAGGCGGAGUUUUAAGUCAGCGGUAAAAGGUCCGGGCGCAACCCGGGCCGGCCGUUGAAACUGGGGAGCUUGAGUGGGCGAGAGGUAUGCGGAAUGCGUGGUGUAGCGGUGAAAUGCAUAGAUAUCACGCAGAACUCCGAUGGCGAAGGCAGCAUACCGGCGCCCGACUGACGCUGAGGCACGAAAGCGUGGGGAUCGAACAGGAUUAGAUACCCCAGUAGUC
rnacentral:rRNA from 1 species